rnacentral:tRNA from 1 species
GGAGAGGUGUCCGAGCGGUUGAAGGAGGCGGUCUCGAAAACCGUUGUAGUCGUAACCCGGCUACCGUGGGUUCGAAUCCCACCCUCUCCGCCA